rnacentral:rRNA from 1 species
UUUUUCAAAAACAUCGCCUCCUGCAACUUUCUAUGUAUAGGAGGUCCAGCCUGCCCAGUGACUACGGGUUCAACGGCCGCGGUAUUUUGACCGUGCAAAGGUAGCGCAAUCACUUGUCUUUUAAAUGAAGACCUGUAUGAAUGGCCAAACGAGGGCUUAGCUGUCUCCCCCUUCUAGUCAGUGAAAUUGAUCUACCCGUGCAGAAGCGGGUGUAAUUAUACAAGACGAGAAGACCCUUUGGAGCUUAAGGUACAAAACUUAAUCACGUUAAACAAAUUAAUAAAAAAUAUAAACUUAGUGAGAUGCAAAGUUUUACCUUCGGUUGGGGCGACCACGGAGGAAAGACAAGCCUCCAAGCGGACGGGGCCAACACCCUAAAACUAAGAGGGACACCUCUAAGCCACAGAAUAUCUGACCAAUAAUGAUCCAGCAUAAAGCUGAUCAACGGACCAAGUUACCCUAGGGAUAACAGCGCAAUCCUCUCCCAGAGUUCAUAUCGACGAGAGGGUUUACGACCUCGAUGUUGGAUCAGGACAUCCUAAUGGUGCAGCCGCUAUUAAGGGUUCGUUUGUUCAACGAUUAAAGUCCUACGUGAUCUGA